rnacentral:rRNA from 1 species
AGUAGCGUCGGACCGUCGCAACGCGCGGAAAGGAGUGGGCUGCAUUAUUGCGGCUUAAGGUACGUGCUAAACCCUUGGGAAACCAAGCUCGUAGGAUUAGACCCGAUAUGUCGAAGUCUGCGAGGGCCGAGAGGCUGGAUCCGGAGCCCGAUUGGUGCUCCGGAAGUGCUGUGAUGCCCUUAGAUGUUCUGGGCUGCACG